rnacentral:rRNA from 1 species
CAACGCGAAGAACCUUACCAAGCCUUGACAUCCUUCUGACCGUUCCUUAAUCGGAACUUCUCUUCGGAGCAGGAGUGACAGGUGGUGCAUGGUUGUCGUCAGCUCGUGUCGUGAGAUGUUGGGUUAAGUCCCGCAACGAGCGCAACCCUUAUCUUUAGUAGCCAGCAUUUAGGAUGGGCACUCUAGAGAGACUGCCCGGGUGAACCGGGAGGAAGGUGGGGAUGACGUCAAAUCAUCAUGCCCCUUAUGAUCUGGGCUACACACGUGCUACAAUGGCGGUCACAAAGGGAAGCAAAACCGUGAGGUCGAGCAAAUCCCAAAAAGGCCGUCCCAGUUCGGACUGUAGUCUGCAACCCGACUACACGAAGCUGGAAUCGCUAGUAAUCGCAGAUCAGAAUGCUGCGGUGAAUACGUUCCCGGGUCUUGUACACACCG